rnacentral:rRNA from 1 species
UACGUAGGUGGCAAGCGUUGUCCGGAUUUAUUGGGCGUAAAGAGCUCGUAGGCGGCUUGUCGCGUCGACUGUGAAAACCCGAGGCUCAACUUCGGGCUUGCAGUCGAUACGGGCAGGCUAGAGUUCGGUAGGGGAGACUGGAAUUCCUGGUGUAGCGGUGAAAUGCGCAGAUAUCAGGAGGAACACCGAUGGCGAAGGCAGGUCUCUGGGCCGAUACUGACGCUGAGGAGCGAAAGCGUGGGGAGCGAACAGG